rnacentral:rRNA from 1 species
GAUGAACGCUGGCGGCGUGCCUAAUACAUGCAAGUCGAGCGAACGGACUAGAAGCUUGCUUCUCUGAUGUUAGCGGCGGACGGGUGAGUAACACGUGGAUAACCUACCUAUAAGACUGGGAUAACUUCGGGAAACCGUAGCUAAUACCGGAUAAUAUUUUGAACCGCAUGGUUCAAAAGUGAAAGACGGUCUUGCUGUCACUUAUAGAUGGAUCCGCGCUGCAUUAGCUAGUUGGUAAGGUAACGGCUUACCAAGGCAACGAUGCAUAGCCGACCUGAGAGGGUGAUCUGCCACACUGGAACUGAGACACGGUCCAGACUCCUACGGGAGGCAGCAGUAGGGAAUCGUCCGCAAUGGGCGGAAGCCUGACGGAGCAACGCCGCGUGAGUGAUGAAGGUCUUCGGAUCGUAAAACUCUGUUAUUAGGGAAGAACAUAUGUGUAAGUAACUGUGCACAGCUUGACGGUACCUAAUCAGAAAGCCACGGCUAACUACGUG